CUGAGACACGGACCAGACUCCUACGGGAGGCAGCAGUGAGGAAUAUUGGUCAAUGGGCGAGAGCCUGAACCAGCCAAGUCGCGUGAGGGAGUACUGCCCUAUGGGUUGUAAACCUCUUUUGUCGGGGAGCAAAAGCCGGACGUGUCCGUCUGUGAGAGUACCCGAAGAAAAAGCAUCGGCUAACUCCGUGCCAGCAGCCGCGGUAAUACGGAGGAUGCGAGCGUUAUCCGGAUUUAUUGGGUUUAAAGGGUGCGCAGGCGGAUUUUUAAGUCAGCGGUCAAAUCGUGGGGCUCAACCCCAUCCAGCCGUUGAAACUGGGGAUCUAGAGUGUGCGAGAGGUAUGCGGAAUGCGUGGUGUAGCGGUGAAAUGCAUAGAUAUCACGCAGAACCCCGAUUGCGAAGGCAGCAUACCGGUGCACAACUGACGCUCAGGCACGAAAGCAUGGGUAUCGAACAGGAUUAGAUACCCUGGUAGUCCACGCAGUAAACGAUGAAUGCUACCUGUUUGGCCAGAUUGAAGGCUGA
rnacentral:rRNA from 1 species